rfam:Spiroplasma poulsonii strain MSRO contig_01, whole genome shotgun sequence.
ACCUUAGUCAUCAAAAUACCAGAGACAGCAACGGAUUUUUAUUAAAUCUUAAUUAUGUUGCCAAGGCAUUAUUGAGAUAUUGAACAGUUACAUGUUUUUAUAUUAUUAUAAUGUUUCAGGCAAUUAAUCUAUUUGGUUAAUUGCCUUUGUUUUAUUGAA